GAUGAACGCUGGCGGCGUGCCUAACACAUGCAAGUCGAGCGAGGGUUUGCUCAGUAUUGAGUAUUCUAAGUCUAGAAUGUUCAAUUCUGAGCAAAACCAAGCGGCGGACGGGUGAGUAACGCGUGGGUAACCUGCCCUAUACACAUGGAUAACAUACUGAAAAGUUUACUAAUACGUGAUAAUAUAUAUUUGUGACAUCGCAGAUAUAUCAAAGUGUUAGCGGUAUAGGAUGGACCCGCGUCUGAUUAGCUAGUUGGUGAGAUAACUGCCCACCAAGGCGACGAUCAGUAGCCGACCUGAGAGGGUGAUCGGCCACAUUGGAACUGAGACACGGUCCAAACUCCUACGGGAGGCAGCAGUGGGGAAUAUUGCACAAUGGGCGAAAGCCUGAUGCAGCAACGCCGCGUGAACGAUGAAGGUCUUCGGAUCGUAAAGUUCUGUUGCAGGGGAAGAUAAUGACGGUACCCUGUGAGGAAGCCCCGGCUAACUACGUGCCAGCAGCCGCGGUAAUACGUAGGGGGCUAGCGUUAUCCGGAUUUACUGGGCGUAAAGGGUGCGUAGGUGGUCCUUCAAGUCGGUGGUUAAAGGCUACGGCUCAACCGUAGUAAGCCGCCGAAACUGGAGGACUUGAGUGCAGGAGAGGAAAGUGGAAUUCCCAGUGUAGCGGUGAAAUGCGUAGAUAUUGGGAGGAACACCAGUAGCGAAGGCGGCUUUCUGGACUGCAACUGACACUGAGGCACGAAAGCGUGGGUAGCAAACAGGAUUAGAUACCCUGGUAGUCCACGCUGUAAACGAUGAGUACUAGGUGUCGGGGGUUACCCCCCUCGGUGCCGCAGCUAACGCAUUAAGUACUCCGCCUGGGGAGUACGCACGCAAGUGUGAAACUCAAAGGAAUUGACGGGGACCCGCACAAGUAGCGGAGCAUGUGGUUUAAUUCGAAGCAACGCGAAGAACCUUACCUAAGCUUGACAUCCCUCGGACAGGUGUUUAAUCACACCCUUCCUUCGGGACUGAGGUGACAGGUGGUGCAUGGGUUGUCGUCAG
rnacentral:rRNA from 1 species